UACAAGUACCCGUGAGGGAAAGUUGCAAAGUACUUUGAAGAGAGAGUUCAAGAGGGCGUGAACCCGCUUGGAAGAAAACAGAUGGACCUGGCGUUAGUUCACUGGAUUCAAUUCUCUUAUGUGCGGGCCAGAGGUUGUUGAUGUCAUUCCGCCUUGUAGGUUUCUGCACUUGGGGCGUACAUUUCCAGUGGAUGUGCACUUGGGGCAGUCUGGGCGCUGUGCAAAACAUGUGUUGCCGGCUGGUGUGCUAGCACCAGUGUCCCACACGAGUGGAGCUCGAGUUGCCUGGACUGGAUAAUCAUGUUGGCGCGUGCGCCUUUGGCUCGGGAACACAGUCGCCUGAGGGUCGAUCGCGGGCACUCCUCGCCGAGGACCCUGUGAAUCCCUCUCUCGUACACUGUGGGACUGAGCUCGCGUGCCACCCUGGUGUUUCAGUCAGUUACCCAUCUGACCCGUCUUGAAACACGGACCAAGGAGUCUAACAUGUGCGCAAGUUAUUGGGUUGCAAAACCUAAAAGCGUAAUGAGAGUGAAGGCUGGCUGGACCAGCUGAUGUGGGAUCCUGGUCAAUGCCCAGGCGCACCACAAUCCCGUCUUGUCUGCAUUGUCAGUGAGGCGGAGAUAGAGCGUACCUGUUGGGACCCGAAAGAUGGUGAACUAUGCCUGAGCAGGAUGAAGCCAGAGGAAACUCUGGUGGAGGUCCGAAACGGUUCUGACGUGCAAAUCGAUCGUCAGACUUGGGUAUAGGGGCGAAAGACUAAUCGAACCAUCUAGUAGCUGGUUCCCUUCGCA
rnacentral:rRNA from 1 species